AGAGUUUGAUCCUGGCUCAGGACGAACGCUGGCGGCACGCUUAACACAUGCAAGUCGAACGAGAGAAGAGGAGCUUGCUUUUCUGAUCUAGUGGCGGACGGGUGAGUAACACGUGAGCAAUCUGCCUUUCAGAGGGGGAUACCGAUUGGAAACGAUCGUUAAUACCGCAUAACAUAAUUGAACCGCAUGAUUUGAUUAUCAAAGAUUUAUCGCUGAAAGAUGAGCUCGCGUCUGAUUAGCUAGUUGGUAAGGUAACUGCUUACCAAGGCGACGAUCAGUAGCCGGACUGAGAGGUUGAUCGGCCACAUUGGGACUGAGACACGGCCCAGACUCCUACGGGAGGCAGCAGUGGGGAAUAUUGCACAAUGGAGGAAACUCUGAUGCAGCGAUGCCGCGUGAGGGAAGAAGGUUUUAGGAUUGUAAACCUCUGUCUUCAGGGACGAAAAAAGACGGUACCUGAGGAGGAAGCUCCGGCUAACUACGUGCCAGCAGCCGCGGUAAUACGUAGGGAGCGAGCGUUGUCCGGAAUUACUGGGUGUAAAGGGAGCGUAGGCGGGAUCGCAAGUCAGAUGUGAAAACUAUGGGCUUAACCCAUAAACUGCAUUUGAAACUGUGGUUCUUGAGUGAAGUAGAGGUAAGCGGAAUUCCUAGUGUAGCGGUGAAAUGCGUAGAUAUUAGGAGGAACAUCAGUGGCGAAGGCGGCUUACUGGGCUUUAACUGACGCUGAGGCUCGAAAGCGUGGGGAGCAAACAGGAUUAGAUACCCUGGUAGUCCACGCCGUAAACGAUGAUUACUAGGUGUGGGGGGACUGACCCCUUCCGUGCCGCAGCAAACGCAAUAAGUAAUCCACCUGGGGAGUACGACCGCAAGGUUGAAACUCAAAGGAAUUGACGGGGGCCCGCACAAGCAGUGGAGUAUGUGGAUUAAUUCGAAGCAACGCGAAGAACCUUACCAGGUCUUGACAUCGUAUGCAUAGCUCAGAGAUGAGUGAAAUCUCUUCGGAGACAUAUAGACAGGUGGUGCAUGGUUGUCGUCAGCUCGUGUCGUGAGAUGUUGGGUUAAGUCCCGCAACGAGCGCAACCCUUACUGUUAGUUGCUACGCAAGAGCACUCUAGCAGGACUGCCGUUGACAAAACGGAGGAAGGUGGGGAUGACGUCAAAUCAUCAUGCCCCUUAUGACCUGGGCCUCACACGUACUACAAUGGCUGUCAACAGAGGGAAGCAAAGCCGCGAGGUGGAGCGAACCCCUAAAAGCAGUCUUAGUUCGGAUUGUAGGCUGCAACCCGCCUACAUGAAGUCGGAAUUGCUAGUAAUCGCAGAUCAGCAUGCUGCGGUGAAUACGUUCCCGGGCCUUGUACACACCGCCCGUCACGCCAUGGGAGUCGGUAACACCCGAAGCCUGUAGUCUAACCGCAAGGAGGACGCAGUCGAAGGUGGGAUUGAUGACUGGGGUGAAGUCGUAACAAGGUA
rnacentral:rRNA from 1 species